rnacentral:rRNA from 1 species
GACGAACGCUGGCGGCGUGCCUAAUACAUGCAAGUAGAACGCACAGUUUAUACCGUAGCUUGCUACACCAUAGACUGUGAGUUGCGAACGGGUGAGUAACGCGUAGGUAACCUGCCUGGUAGCGGGGGAUAACUAUUGGAAACGAUAGCUAAUACCGCAUAAUAUUGAUUAUUGCAUGAUAAUUAAUUGAAAGGUGCAAUUGCACCACUACCAGAUGGACCUGCGUUGUAUUAGCUAGUAGGUGAGGUAACGGCUCACCUAGGCGACGAUACAUAGCCGACCGGAGGGGGGGAUCGGCCACCCUGGGACUGGGCCCCGGCCCAGACUCCUACGGGAGGCAGCAGAGGGGAAUCUUCGGAAAUGGACGAAAGUCUGACCGAGCAACGCCGCGGGAGUGAAGAAGGUUUUGGGAUCGUAAAGCCCUUUUUUAAGAGAAGAACGGGUGGGAGGGGGGAAAGUGCAAACGGGGACGGUAUUUUACCAAAAAGGGACGGCUAACUCCGG